CUCUCUCUCUCUCUCUCUCGUUCGCGUCGGCCUUCCUCCCGUUCCCCUUCUCCACUUCCACCCAAUUCAAUUCGCCGUUUCCUAUCGGAGCGAACGCACAGAUUCCUGGAAUUCCUCAAACUACGCUUCGGCUUUCAACCAUCGCUUCCGGCGACUUUUAAUCCUUUUUUCUUUUGAUGGUUGACCCUUGACCGGGGGGAUCUGGGAUCUGUGUACAGUUUUCCAAGUUUUUGCGCAUUCCACAUCUCACAUCUGAUCGGACAGAUUUUUUUCCUUCCUUUUCCGCGAUCAGGUAGCUACGUACACGAUUUGUGAUCAUCUUGUUCUCUUUCUUCCUUGGUGACACGAAUAGCGGAAGGAAGGUUGUGCCACUACUACAAUACAAUACACAAUACAUAGAGGAUGGAGG
rnacentral:misc_RNA from 1 species